AACUAGUUCCUAGUCCUUUGACUAAUUGUUUUAUAUAUAUAUAUAUGAUCACUACCAACAUGAUCUACUCAUUCCAUCUUUGCAAUGGCAACCAAUUCUCUGAAGUUUACUUUGGUGACCAUUUUCAUCUUUGCAAUGGCUCUCUCUCUCACUUUACCAUCAUGUGAUGCUGCACGUGUUCCAUUAGUAGAUUUUGUUGUGCAGUUAAUAAUAGGCCUAUAUGUCCUGCUUGCUUGUGUUGCACUCCACCACCCCCUGGCUCUUGCUGCACAAAGUGUUGUGCUUCGGUACCAGUUUCAUAAUAGGGAAAUCAAAUGUCCAUUUACAUAUAACAUCACAUAUAGUUAUUAAUGAUAUGUUUGUAAUUUUAUAUGUUUAACAAAUCAUUAUCAUGAUGUUAUCAUAUAUUGUAUGUUACCAUCAUCAAGGACUGAAUGCCAUGUAUGAUAUUGGAUCUUAAAAGUUAUAAAUCAGUUAACAGGACAUUAAAUUAUUUACCUAUUAAA